AACGAACGCUGGCGGCAGGCUUAACACAUGCAAGUCGAACGCGCCCUUCGGGGCGAGUGGCAGACGGGUGAGUAACGCGUGGGAACGUACCCUUCGGUUCGGAAUAACCCAGGGAAACCUGGGCUAAGACCGGAUGCGCCCCCGGAGUGAUCCGGGGGGAAAGGUUCACCGCCGAAGGAUCGGCCCGCGUCGGAUUAGCUGGACGGUGGGGUAACGGCCUACCGUGGCGACGAUCCGUAGCUGGUCUGAGAGGAUGAUCAGCCACACUGGGACUGAGACACGGCCCAGACUCCUACGGGAGGCAGCAGUGGGGAAUAUUGGUCAAUGGGGGAAACCCUGAACCAGCCAUGCCGCGUGAGUGAAGAAGGCCCUAGGGUUGUAAAGCUCUUUCAGCGGGGACGAUAAUGACGGUACCCGCAGAAGAAGCCCCGGCUAACUUCGUGCCAGCAGCCGCGGUAAUACGAAGGGGGCGAGCGUUGUUCGGAAUCACUGGGCGUAAAGGGCGCGCAGGCGGUCCUUCAAGUCAGAUGUGAAAGCCCCGGGCUCAACCUGGGAAUUGCAUUUGAGACUGAGGGACUGGAGGACGGGAGAGGAGAGUGGAAUUCCCAGUGUAGAGGUGAAAUUCGUAGAUAUUGGGAGGAACACCAGUAGCGAAGGCGGCUCGCUGGGCCAUUCCUGACGCUGAGACG
rnacentral:rRNA from 1 species